rnacentral:rRNA from 1 species
GUGUCAGCCGCCGCGGUAAAACGUAGGUGGCGAGCGUUAUCCGGAUUUACUGGGUGUAAAGCGCGUGCAGGCGGCUUAUCAAGUGGGAUGUGAAAGCGCCCGGCUCAACCGGGCGAGGACGUUGCAGACUGAUAAGCUAGAGGCUGGAAGAGGCGAGUGGAAUUCCGGGUGUAGUGGUGAAAUGCGUAGAGAUCCGGAGGAACACCAGUGGCGAAGGCGACUCGCUGGUCCAGGACUGACGCUCAGACGCGAAAGCAUGGGGAGCGAACGGGAUUAGAUACCCUAGUAGUCC